rnacentral:rRNA from 1 species
UACGUAGGGUGCAAGCGUUAAUCGGAAUUACUGGGCGUAAAGCGUGCGCAGGCGGUUAUUUAAGACAGAUGUGAAAUCCCCGGGCUCAACCUGGGAACUGCAAUUGUGACUGCAUAGCUAGAGUACGGCAGAGGGGGAUGGAAUUCCGCGUGUAGCAGUGAAAUGCGUAGAUAUGCGGAGGAACACCGAUGGCGAAGGCAAUCCCCUGGGCCUGUACUGACGCUCAUGCACGAAAGCGUGGGGAGCAAACAGG